AGAGUUUGAUCAUGGCUCAGAUUGAACGCUGGCGGCAGGCCUAACACAUGCAAGUCGAGCGGUAGCACAGAGAGCUUGCUCUCGGGUGACGAGCGGCGGACGGGUGAGUAAUGUCUGGGAAACUGCCUGAUGGAGGGGGAUAACUACUGGAAACGGUAGCUAAUACCGCAUAACGUCGCAAGACCAAAGUGGGGGACCUUCGGGCCUCAUGCCAUCAGAUGUGCCCAGAUGGGAUUAGCUAGUAGGUGGGGUAACGGCUCACCUAGGCGACGAUCCCUAGCUGGUCUGAGAGGAUGACCAGCCACACUGGAACUGAGACACGGUCCAGACUCCUACGGGAGGCAGCAGUGGGGAAUAUUGCACAAUGGGCGCAAGCCUGAUGCAGCCAUGCCGCGUGUGUGAAGAAGGCCUUCGGGUUGUAAAGCACUUUCAGCGGGGAGGAAGGCGAUAAGGUUAAUAACCUUGUCGAUUGACGUUACCCGCAGAAGAAGCACCGGCUAACUCCGUGCCAGCAGCCGCGGUAAUACGGAGGGUGCAAGCGUUAAUCGGAAUUACUGGGCGUAAAGCGCACGCAGGCGGUCUGUCAAGUCGGAUGUGAAAUCCCCGGGCUCAACCUGGGAACUGCAUUCGAAACUGGCAGGCUAGAGUCUUGUAGAGGGGGGUAGAAUUCCAGGUGUAGCGGUGAAAUGCGUAGAGAUCUGGAGGAAUACCGGUGGCGAAGGCGGCCCCCUGGACAAAGACUGACGCUCAGGUGCGAAAGCGUGGGGAGCAAACAGGAUUAGAUACCCUGGUAGUCCACGCCGUAAACGAUGUCGAUUUGGAGGUUGUGCCCUUGAGGCGUGGCUUCCGGAGCUAACGCGUUAAAUCGACCGCCUGGGGAGUACGGCCGCAAGGUUAAAACUCAAAUGAAUUGACGGGGGCCCGCACAAGCGGUGGAGCAUGUGGUUUAAUUCGAUGCAACGCGAAGAACCUUACCUGGUCUUGACAUCCACAGAACUUAGCAGAGAUGCUUUGGUGCCUUCGGGAACUGUGAGACAGGUGCUGCAUGGCUGUCGUCAGCUCGUGUUGUGAAAUGUUGGGUUAAGUCCCGCAACGAGCGCAACCCUUAUCCUUUGUUGCCAGCGGUUAGGCCGGGAACUCAAAGGAGACUGCCAGUGAUAAACUGGAGGAAGGUGGGGAUGACGUCAAGUCAUCAUGGCCCUUACGACCAGGGCUACACACGUGCUACAAUGGCAUAUACAAAGAGAAGCGACCUCGCGAGAGCAAGCGGACCUCAUAAAGUAUGUCGUAGUCCGGAUUGGAGUCUGCAACUCGACUCCAUGAAGUCGGAAUCGCUAGUAAUCGUAGAUCAGAAUGCUACGGUGAAUACGUUCCCGGGCCUUGUACACACCGCCCGUCACACCAUGGGAGUGGGUUGCAAAAGAAGUAGGUAGCUUAACCUUCGGGAGGGCGCUUACCACUUUGUGAUUCAUGACUGGGGUGAAGUCGUAACAAGGUAACCGUAGGGGAACCUGCGGUUGGAUCACCU
rnacentral:rRNA from 9 species